GCCAGUGUGGCAUAGAGGUUUGAGUGUUGGACUACGACUCUGGAGAUCAGGGUUCGAUUCCCCAUUUCA